rnacentral:rRNA from 1 species
CCUACGGGAGGCUGCAGUGGGGAAUAUUGCACAAUGGGGGAAACCCUGAUGCAGCGACGCCGCGUGAGUGAAGAAGUAAUUCGUUAUGUAAAGCUCUAUCAGCCGGGAAGAAAAUGACGGUACCUGAGUAAGAAGCCCCGGCUAACUACGUGCCAGCAGCCGCGGUAAUACGUAGGGGGCAAGCGGUAUCCGGAUUUACUGGGUGGAAAGGGAGCGUAGACGGCAGUGCAAGUCUGGAGUGAAAGGCGGGGGCUCAACCCCCGGACUGCUCUGGAAACUGUACGGCUGGAGUGCAGGAGAGGUAAGUGGAAUUCCUAGUGUAGCGGUGAAAUGCGUAGAUAUUAGGAGGAACACCAGUGGCGAAGGCGGCUUACUGGACUGUAACUGACGUUGAGGCUCGAAAGCGUGGGGAGCAAACAGGAUUAGAUACCCGGGUAGUC